ensembl:misc_RNA Metazoa_SRP Metazoan signal recognition particle RNA
AUCAAGCGUAAUGGCACAUGCCUGUAGUCCCAGCUAUUGGGGAGGGUGGGGUGGGAGGAUCACUUGAGCUCAGGAGUUCCGGGCUUUAGUGCACUAUGCUAAUUGGGUGUCCACACUAAAUUGGGCAUCAAUAUGGUUACCUCCCUGGAGUGAGGAACCACCAGGUUGCCUAAGGAGGGGUGAACUGGCCCAGACCAGAAAUGAAGAACUUUGGAGCUGAUCAGUAGAGGGAUCAUGCCUGUGAAUAGCCAUUGCACUGCAGCCUGGGCAACAUAGCAAGGCAACAUCUCUU